AUACAAAAAAUUCAUAACUAGAACUUGGACGAUUCCAAUGCAUUCAUUCGUAAACAAAAAUCAUGAGAAUAUCAUGUGCCCACUUAAUGACCACGAAAUCCUGGAUAAAUAUCAAAAUGGUAUAAUGAUAGUACUCACCUGAUUAACACCGAUAGCUAUUCACGAGGGCACUUGCGAGGGCACUGUGGCACUUCACUUCACUGAAAUGUUACACCACGGAUGUCCGGAUGGGCACGAGUUCAGAAUUCCUCUGGCAUUUGCCAGUCAAUCGAUUUUCUUUUUCGCGGAAUUUAAGAAUGUCCUCAUCGUUUGUUUUUGAUCGACUAUAAUAUAAUCCCCCACCAGUCUCACCUAUAUCCAGGCAUUGAGACAUCGUGAGAAGGUAGUCACGUCGAAACAAGAACAGACAAUUCACGACAAGUCGGUUCGCUGGAUUUUUGAGUGCGAUCAUUAGUGGUUACAGAAAGAACGAUGAUUAAUUAUUAAAAAAAUAUUGUAUUCGAGUGUUUAAGUGCUGGUGAUACAAACGUGUAAGUGCUUUUUAUUUUUCAAUUUUUUUUCUAUGAAAUUAAGUGAUUUAUUUCCAAUUUUUCAUCUUCUCUGCCAUGAAUUUGAAUACUCACCUUCCGCCAUUUUUUUUCUUCACUUUGUAGCAUCCCUUAUUUUGAGUGUAAAAUCAUUAGUAUGAGAACAAAAAACAAAAGAAACGUAGCGAAUUUGCUAGAAAAUCAUAUUGACAUUCUACAGGCAUUCUACAUGAUUUCUAUUGGAAUUUUACUAAAAAAUCUUAUUCUUUCCGUUGCACCGAUUCUAUUGGAUAUCAGCAAGAAAAAAGUCAAUAAAUUUUGAAUUUCUGUUCGAGUUUCUCUCUUGAGAUUUUUUCCAUUCAAAUUAUUGAGCACCGCUUUUCUCAGCUUUUCUUCCACUCGGAUUCCAUAAUGCAAAACUAAACAAAUUGAAGGGAAGGUUUUUUUUCGCCCUUGUGGUCAUGAGGAAAAAAAACUUCUCUUCAUUUAAAAAUUUACGGUCGAAUAAUCUCUGCAUAAUAUUAAACUAAUCAAAAUACAGCCAAAGACGAUUAGAAAAUUUGUGAACAAUAAUUUCAAUAUAAAAAAUUCCAAAUCUAUUGACUUUUGUAUUUCAAAUAUCUAAUAGAAUCGGUGCAAACACAAAUACAAUUUUUAAAUAGAAUUCUAAUAGACAUCUCAAAGGAAUUCCAUUCAAUUCCUAUAGAAUUCCCAUAGAAUUUUCCAGUGAAUUUGCUAGACUUUUUACUGAUUUUCUUUAUAGUGUAUUCAUUCUAUAAUCUCGCAAUUUAUUUUUUUUCAUUUCCAAGGGAGAAUUUUAUUAACUCAUUCUUCUAGUACCCAAUACGUAGCUUAUUCCAAUGAUUCUUCAUAAUGCAAUUUAAAUUUCUCACAACCAUCAAUUAUCGAACGAUUUGUUAUUAUCUGUCUUUCUUUCAUGGUAACUCAUGGAGGAGAUUUUUAUGAAUGAAAUUUCUUCUUUUUUUUGUUCAUUUAAGCUUCAAACCUAUCGGUUAUACAGCUAAUCAUGGUCAAUUUUUCUUUACAGUACUCUAACCGGCUAUAUCGAUCACAUCCAAGGGCGUAAAUGGUUUAGGAGCGAGAAAAAAACAGCCCUUAUCUUUCGAAUUGACGAUACAAAGGGGAUGAAAAUUGAGGUGUACGUUUGGGAAAAGCAGAUAAUGUUGUGGGAGUCUCAUAUUACGCUAUACAAGAAUGUAACGAUUACACGAGGUUCAAUCAAAGUGACUCCCAUUACAAAUGGUGGUGGCGAGUCAACACUCGCGUUCCACCUUGAAUCAUUUUCAGAAAUCCAUUCCCAGGGGACCUAAAAUCCCCAAAUUCGUGACUCCAUAGUUUAUUCAGAAGAGACACUAAGUAGCCUGCCAAGCGUCAAGGGACCUUUUGUACUUGAGUCGUGGACUAAAGAUGCUUUUGUCAUCCACGCUAUUGGGAGGAGCUCUUACCUGAAUGGCUCGGUAUCAGACGGUAUCUGGAAACUGACGGUGUACGUCAAUGCAUGUGCAGACAGACUACCCGAUGGUCUAACCAGAGGUAGUCGUAUGAGACUUUGGGGUACCUUGGAGGCGAAUGGAAUCGGAGGGUGUUAUCUAAAAGUCGUAGAUGAAUAUCAUGUGCGACCUCUACCUGAGUUCCCCAGACUGUCGGCGGAAGACUUAGAGGAUGCAGUCGUUUCAGUUAAUCGUCUUUUCAGUUAAUCGCCUCCAUUUACAAAUAGGGAAAUGUCAUUGUUUUUGUAUUCACUUCUGUGGAAAAUAAAAUGUAUUUCCUCAAAUU